rnacentral:rRNA from 1 species
UGGGGAAUUUUGGACAAUGGGCGCAAGCCUGAUCCAGCCAUGCCGCGUGCGGGAAGAAGGCCUUCGGGUUGUAAACCGCUUUUGUCAGGGAAGAAACGCUCUGGGCUAAUACCCUGGGGUAAUGACGGUACCUGAAGAAUAAGCACCGGCUAACUACGUGCCAGCAGCCGCGGUAAUACGUAGGGUGCGAGCGUUAAUCGGAAUUACUGGGCGUAAAGCGUGCGCAGGCGGCUUUGCAAGACAGAUGUGAAAUCCCCGGGCUCAACCUGGGAACUGCAUUUGUGACUGCAAGGCUAGAGUACGGUAGAGGGGGAUGAAAUUCCGCGUGUAGCAGUGAAAUGCGUAGAUAUGCGGAGGAACACCGAUGGCGAAGGCAAUCCCCUGGACCUGUACUGACGCUCAUGCACGAAAGCGUGGGGAGCAAACAGGAUUAGAUACCCUUGUAGUCCCUGAGCGGGCUGGCAAGGCGCAU